rnacentral:rRNA from 1 species
CAGCCGUAAACUAUGCGCGUUAGGUGUAUCGGUGACCACGAGUUACCGAGGUGCCGAAGGGAAACCGUGAAACGUGCCGCCUGGGAAGUACGGUCGCAAGGCUGAAACUUAAAGGAAUUGGCGGGGGAGCACCACAACAGGUGGAGCCUGCGGUUUAAUUGGACUCAACGCCGGGAAGCUCACCGGAUAGGACAGCAGAAUGAUUGCCGGGCUGAAGACCCUGCAUGACUAGCUGAGAGGAGGUGCAUGACGUCAGUGACU